rnacentral:misc_RNA from 1 species
UUUCCGUAGGUGAACCUGCGGAAGGAUCAUUACUGAGUGAGGGCCCUCUGGGUCCAACCUCCCACCCGUGUUUAUUAUACCUUGUUGCUUCGGUGAGCCCGCCUCACGGCCGCCGGGGGGCAUCUGCCCCCGGGCCCGCGCCCACCGAAGACACCCAGAACUCUGUAUGAAGAUUGCAGUCUGAGCAAAAACUAAAUAAGUUAAAACUUUCAACAACGGAUCUCUUGGUUCCG